UUCACGGAGAGUUUGAUCCUGGCUCAGGACGAACGCUGGCGGCGUGCUUAACACAUGCAAGUCGAACGAUGAAGCCGCUUCGGUGGUGGAUUAGUGGCGAACGGGUGAGUAACACGUGGGCAAUCUGCCCUGCACUCUGGGACAAGCCCUGGAAACGGGGUCUAAUACCGGAUAUUACCUGGUGAGGCAUCUUACUGGGUGGAAAGCUCCGGCG
rnacentral:rRNA from 1 species